AGAACAGCAAGCUGUACAUGUCUGUCCUGACAUACCAUGAAACAUGCUGCAAGGGCUGGCUAACUCCUCACCCAGUUUGGAUUGAACUGCAAGAAAUCUUGAAAUGGCAAUGAUGAAAUUACAGCUGCUGCUGCUGCAAUGUCAUGGGCUUGUUUAUUGGGCUUCAGUGGGAGCAAAUUGAGCUUUCAAUAUCUGAGCCAGAAGCUUAUAAAUAACUGGGCCGUGGACCCAAACCAAUUGUUGGAUACUAGACCCAGAUCGAAUCAUUCGUGGCCCUGGC
rnacentral:lncRNA from 1 species